UUUGAGAAACAUUAACAAAGGAAAAGUGAUGACACUUGGUGACCACUUGGACAUGGAGGAGGGCCCGUGACUUCUAGAUUUCUGUUUCAGGACAGUGAAGGCAGUGGUGGCUCCUGCUGCAGAGAAGCUAACUGACUCCAGCAGCUUCCUCCAUGGAGCCAUAUGUGUCUACCUCCUUCUAGGUGCUAGCCCUGCAGCUGAUAAAGAGCACCCCAGCUCCGAGAACACCGCCCGACCCAGGGAUGUGAACCUGUGCCUCAGUCGGUCCACUCAGCAACAUCUACCAGGCCUGCAUGCUCCUCAUGAACCCAGGAGGAGAGGAGGUCAAGGCCGUGCUGGUCUAUGCUCAUGGUCACUCAGCAAGGACACGAGGGGACCAGGUUCAAACCUAGGCCGUGCAUUCGCUCCUCAGGCUCUUCAUGCUGUUUGAGGUGGGUAUGCUUGGCACCCGGAAGUAUAUUUGAAAUUUGUUGAGGACAAAGGUUAUCCCUUUUAGUUGUUUAGUAAUAACAUCAUUUCAUCCACUUGGAUCAGCCCCAGCCGGGGGCCGUGAUGUCCCACUUGCUAUGCUGCACAGGUAUCUGUUCUGGUGCCUGGACUGACCCCGACAGUGCUGCCUGCCCUGACUCUCUGGGCGCCUUGAGAGGAGGAGACCAGCUCUGCCCUCUUGGUGCCUGGAGCCUGGCUGAAGGUGGACGAGCUGCUGCAGCUGCUCCGAGGGUCUGCUGGGGUCACAGAGCCAUUCGAUGGACCUCAUCUCAUUUAGCCCCCACAAUGGCUCCAAGAAGCAAGCAGGGGAGGUGUUUUUAUUGCCACUUCACAGAUUGGAAAAUUGAGACCCAAGGCAGCUGCUAAGAAGGCUAGAACUGGGACUUGAACUUGGGUCUGUCAGACCCUGAGACUCAUGUGAAUGGUUUCCCCUAAGGUCUAGCAUAGCGCUUCCUGCAGUGGAUGCUGAAUAAAAAAUUUUCCUCCUUCUUCAGGCUAUGAUUACCAUGUCCUGUAUCUAGAGUGAACAAAUGCAUCUUUAAAAAAGGGCAAUAUUUGAUUUUGAUUCCAAAAGCAAUAGGUACUCACUUGAAAAAUCUGGAAAACACAGUAAUGUGCAAUGCUGUUAUGUAUAAAGAAGACAAUAAAA